AACGCACGAGACCUGCGGACCUGCGGAAGGAUCAUUACCGAGUUAUACAACUCCCAAACCCACUGUGAACCUUACCUCAGUUGCCUCGGCGGGAACGCCCCGGCCGCCUGCCCCCGCGCCGGCGCCGGACCCAGGCGCCCGCCGCAGGGACCCCAAACUCUCUUGCAUUACGCCCAGCGGGCGGAAUUUCUUCUCUGAGUUGCACAAGCAAAAACAAAUGAAUCAAAACUUUUAGCAACG
rnacentral:misc_RNA from 1 species